AAGUUAGUUGUUAGGACUCUCCACUGUUAUCCUGUUAUCCAGCCUUUAGUGAUUAAAUAAGUCACUUCAACUGUCUCAACAUUUAUCCUCAUUGAGACUUUGUUUCAAUUAACAUUGCUUCGCAUAUUCUAAGGACUUUAACAUAUCAAGAAGAUCUGUAUUCUGAACUCUCACCUCUCAGCUUACAAACUGCUCUCCGCUCCUGAAUAGCAACUCUGUGACGUCAUUCAAGCCGACACCAGCUCAGCAUAUGCAGACAGCGUUCAGACGCCAACCUGUUUACACAAGCUACUGCAUCUACAGCCUUUAACCCUGCUUCCUACACAGCUUCAAGGAAUACUAACAGCAAACAGUUGGUUUCAACGGAGAAACUUAAAGGAUUUAUCACCUCUCUAAAACUAAGAACCGGAGGAGUUAUCUACAAACCGCAAGGAAAACCACCACAGUUUUGGUGCGUUGGCUGGGAAUCGCAAUAUCUCUGAAUCCUCUUCAGGCAGACACCACUGGACCCUGGAGGCACUCAACAAAGACCAGUCAAAACAGUGUCGUGUUUUAAAUUGUUGCUGCAGAAGCUGUGCGCCUUGACUACCCCCAAAAAAGGCAAGGCUCCUCCGAGAAGACACAGGCCAUCCAGAUAAAACCUACACCACCCUGUAUGUUGCCCCUGGUGCACAGUCUACCAGCUAUGAGGUUAUGAGCUGUGGACGUACAGAGAAGAAAUGGUGGAACUGUUGAAAUUCAGUCACUUAAGUGCCAUACAAGUUACUGAUCUGUGAUACUUUUGUGUGAGCUCACAUAAGUAUCAGAGGAGGGAUUGUAAAAUAAUGGAGGUAGCUGGUUAUUUUUAAGGGGGCUUUUUCAGUCAGAUAGGCCACAUUGAAUAUUUUUGCUUAUGCUUUAUUUCUGUCUAAUUGUCUUGUCUUCUAUCUUGUUAGAAAACUCCUCUCUUGUGAGUAUUUUACCUCUCUGCAUGUAACAUUUGGCCAGACAACUAUCUGUAGGAUAACAAACAUUUAAUUGCUGCAUUUCUCUCCCUGUCCAAAAUGACAGAAGUCACAUGAAUUGUUUUCUGUGCACUAGGUCAGUGCACAGAAAACUAGGCUAGGUCAAGCAGAGUGUAUGCUAUUUUGCUGACAGGUGGUUCAAAUGGAAACUAACUCGCUGAAUUGUUCCUCAUUCUUGUAAACAGUAACAAGUAUAGGAAAACAGAUGUAUUAGAAUAGGUAUUUUGCCUAGCAACCAGAUGAAGAGAUCUUUAGGUCGAAUAUUAUUGGUGGCUACAUGUUGAUUAC